CUAUUAAUGGGAGCCAAUUGAAAAAUAAUAGUAUGUAUGACAUUCAAAUCUAUAUAAGAAUGAUAGUGUUCCUUUAACCCCUUAAGGACCAAACUUCUGGAAUAAAAGGGAAUCAUGACAUGUCACACAUGUCAUGUGUCCUUAAGGGGUUAAAGCACACAAUAUUUACAGCGGUUCAAGGGACACUGUAAUCACCAAAACAACUUUAGCUUAAUGAAGCUGUUUAGGUGUAUAGAUCAUGCUCCUGAAGGCUGGAGAAUAUUUGCACACUUGCUUCUGUAUUGACAGAAAUGGUCUACUGCCUAUUUAGCAAAAUGCUCAGAAGAGGUAGCUGAGUGUUAUGGGAGACAUCUAUUAAUUCAUCUAUUCUCUAAGUCUGAUAUGCUUCCAGUUGGGCUACUUAGACUUUAAAUGUGAAAUUCACUUUGAAUUCUCCCUUUAGUGGAUAGCACUGACUGUGUGAGUAUCUGUGAAAGCAACAGCUCUGAUUCAAAGGGGCACUUUAACUCCUUAAGGACGGCUGACGUACUAGGCAAAUAUAUUACUUAUCCGAUCGCCGCAGUUCCGCAAUCUGUGUUGCUCCCGGUCUGGGGGUCUGCCUGAGGCCCCCAUGGGCAAUAGGCGUCCAUAGUGCUGCCUGCAUACAGACUCCCUAAACUGACAGGCAGUCUCCCUGCUGC